AUGAACGCUGGCGGCGUGCCUCAUCCCUGCCAGUCGAGCGAACGGACGAGAAGCUUGCUUCUCUGAUGUUAGCGGCGGACGGGUGAGUAACACGUGGAUAACCUACCUAUAAGACUGGGAUAACUUCGGGAAACCGUAGCUAAUACCGGAUAAUAUUUUGAACCGCAUGGUUCAAAAGUGAAAGACGGUCUUGCUGUCACUUAUAGAUGGAUCCGCGCUGCAUUAGCUAGUUGGUAAGGUAACGGCUUACCAAGGCAACGAUGCAUAGCCGACCUGAGAGGGUGAUCGGCCACACUGGAACUGAGACACGGUCCAGACUCCUACGGGAGGCAGCAGUAGGGAAUCUUCCGCAAUGGGCGAAAGCCUGACGGAGCAACGCCGCGUGAGUGAUGAAGGUCUUCGGAUCGUAAAACUCUGUUAUUAGGGAAGAACAUAUGUGUAAGUAACUGUGCACAUCUUGACGGUACCUAAUCAGAAAGCCACGGCUAACUACGUG
rnacentral:rRNA from 1 species